rnacentral:rRNA from 1 species
AGUGAACGCUGGCGGUAGGCCUAACACAUGCAAGUCGAACGGCAGCACAGAGGAGCUUGCUCCUUGGGUGGCGAGUGGCGGACGGGUGAGGAAUACAUCGGAAUCUACUCUGUCGUGGGGGAUAACGGAGGGAAACUUACGCUAAUACCGCAUACGACCUACGGGUGAAAGCAGGGGAUCUUCGGACCUUGCGCGAUUGAAUGAGCCGAUGUCGGAUUAGCUAGUUGGCGGGGUAAAGGCCCACCAAGGCGACGAUCCGUAGCUGGUCUGAGAGGAUGAUCAGCCACACUGGAACUGAGACACGGUCCAGACUCCUACGGGAGGCAGCAGUGGGGAAUAUUGGACAAUGGGCGCAAGCCUGAUCCAGCCAUACCGCGUGGGUGAAGAAGGCCUUCGGGUUGUAAAGCCCUUUUGUUGGGAAAGAAAUCCAUCUGGUUAAUACCCGGGUGGGAUGACGGUACCCAAAGAAUAAGCACCGGCUAACUUCGUGCCAGCCGCUGCGGUAA